rnacentral:rRNA from 1 species
UACGAAGGGUGCAAGCGUUACUCGGAAUUACUGGGCGUAAAGCGUGCGUAGGUGGUUCGUUAAGUCUGAUGUGAAAGCCCUGGGCUCAACCUGGGAAUGGCAUUGGAAACUGGCGACCUAGAGUGCGGUAGAGGGUAGUGGAAUUCCCGGUGUAGCAGUGAAAUGCGUAGAGAUCGGGAGGAACAUCAGUUGCGAAGGCGGCUCUCUGGACCAGCACUGACGCUCAUGCACGAAAGCGUGGGGAGCAAACAGG